rnacentral:lncRNA from 10 species
CAGAGACCAGAGGGACAUGGGGUCUUUCUUCAGUGGUGACGCUGGGUUUUCUUCACAUUUCCUUCCACAAAGAAGCAGCACAAAAGAGCGCUGGACUUGCGGCUAGUCGGAGCUCUGCGUCCACCCGCCCGUGUGACCUGAUCCGCCCCUCGCCUACUUCCAGAGCCCGUGGAAGUGGAGAAGUUGAUGGAAGAUGUUGGCCCCACAUUCCUGCGUGGUGCCGAUUCACACUCCUGUGUGGGGCGGAGAACACCAGCUCGCUCUACGGUAUCAAACACCUCUCCAGCUGUGCACAGCCUUUUGGCUCCUUGGCUCUUGGCCAGGAGAUGGAACCUGACAUACCUCAGGAAGCACGGCCUCUGGAAGGUGCCCCUCUGCAGCAGUGAGGGUAUGUUUAGGGCCACGGGGGCAAUUUACAACUCUCCUUGGAACCUGCAAGGUCUCCCAGCAAUGACAGCUGAGCUGAACAUUAAACUGAAAUUCCUUUAAUGCCACCACCAAAAUCCUUCCAGGAAAUGCCCCAGCAGGCAGUGUCAUCCUUAGAGUCUCCUUCCUUUGUAACAAACUGUGUAGAGUCCCCAGGGCAGCCUAGGUGUGAGCAGUAAUUCACUCUCAGCACAGUCAGAGGAGACAUGCUUUGUGAUCUCAGUCCCAGCAGCGAAUAAAAGAGUUACUGUCUGCUUGGAAAUCAGCUGCUGGAGUCGAGCAGAUCAUCAGCUAAACAACUGCUAUUGGACAGAAGAAAGGGCCUCAAGGGCUCCCAGGAGAUUGUGCUAAUUAAUUAGCCAAUGGCACAAAGAAGGCAACAGUCCAUAGCUCAGUCCAGCAGGUUCUCCCAGGGGUGGGAGCUGGGGAGGGAAAAAGAAGGAAAAUAAAAUGCUUUCAAAGGUCCAGAUUAGAAACUUCUUCAGCUGGCAAUCAUCCCCAAAGACAUGAUUUUCUAAAAGUGGCUGUUGUUGUUUCUCCAGGUUCCUAGGACCUCACUGCAGAAGAUGCUGAAGCAUGUGAGAACUGCUGUACCCCGCCAAACGGAGGGGCAGGAGGAAAAGGCCACUGAGAUUCUUUCAAGUCCAGAUCAACGGGUAUGAGUCUUUCUUCCGAAGCUGAUGAACGACACAAACGGUGGAGGAACCACUUCAGAUAUUUUUUAAGUCACCAUGAAGAAGUAUGAAUAUUUUUAUAGGCUUAUGCUUUACAAAUUGAAUUAACAAUCAUUAUCCCACUGAUUCUGCAAAGUACAGAUGAGAGGCAAAGAAAGACAAGGCAAAUAAAACUGGCCAGGGUAGUUUUUCCUCCAGAGUUUGUCGCUUCCCAUUCUAUCCAUCCUCCUCUUUUUCCUCUCUUUGCUAACUGCUGAUGCAACUACCUUUACUUUGGCCCCGUUUAUAUUCGGAAGACUUUUACUAAGAUUACUUUGCGAAGAAACAUAGGAUUCUUGUUUUGGAACCUGCCAUUAAGUGCAAAGUCCAAGAUAAACCAGAGCAGUGAAUUGAAAGUUCUAAAUCCGCUUAAAAGCUUCUGUGUUCCACAAUUCACUGCAGAUUUAAAAAAAGAAACCUGGCUACUAAAUCACUAUGCUUAGAGCCAGACAAGCAAGAUCACAACACACUACAAUAUCUUGGUAGAAUGACUUAUUAAGUGCACUUAAGUGUACACUAAAAUGCAAAGGAAAGUUAACACAGCAGGUUGAACCCAGUGCUUCCUAACCAUCCCAUCUCUUUCUUCAUGUUGAGCUUCUUCGCCAGUAUGGGCAAGUACCACUAUCUUCAUUUCCAGAUGUGUUCAGAUAAGCAUAAAUCUCUGCUAGGAACACAAAUAAUGCCAGCAUCAACUAUCAGGAAGGAACCAGAGUGUCCUAACUUCUUAGGUAGAGAGCCAUUUCCUGCAACUUCUAAUUUCAC